rnacentral:rRNA from 1 species
UACGUAGGGUGCAAGCGUUGUCCGGAUUUAUUGGGCGUAAAGAGCUCGUAGGCGGUCUGUCGCGUCGGAUGUGAAAGCCCUCGGCUCAACCGAGGAAGUGCAUUCGAAACUGCUGAACUUGAAUAUGGAAGAGGGUCGCGGAAUUCCCGGUGUAGAGGUGAAAUUCGUAGAUAUCGGGAGGAACACCAGUGGCGAAGGCGGCGACCUGGGCCAAUAUUGACGCUGAGGUGCGAAAGCGUGGGGAGCAAACAGG